CAGGAAUUGAACCCAGGACCUUCUUGCUGCAAGGCAACAGUGCUACCAACUGCGCUUGUGUUUGAUCUACUAUGUGAAUUCUUAGAGCUAGAUCACAAAUGGAGGACGUUGAAGCGGAUGACAAGAGCCAGAUGAGGAGCUCAGUGACGUCUUUACCAGAGCAACGAUCAGAAGCAGGACCCUCCCCAGAGCCACAGUGACCUCAGUGAUGAGGUCACAGACGACAUCAUGAACAUCACAACAGAUCAAAGAAGUUCUGAGGCUUUAACUGCUUGAAUCUCAACACAUCAGUUAGAAUCCAAACACUUCAGAUAUCUGGUGACGACAGGGAUGAGGAAAGUUUUCGACCAUUUAUUUCCUGGACACGACUCGGACCAACGAUCAGAAGCAGGACCCUCCCCAGAGUCACAGUGACCUCAGUGAUGAGGUCACAGACGACAUCAUGAACAUCACAACAGAUCAAAGAAGUUCUGAGGCUUUAACUGCUUGAAUCUCAACACAUCAGUUAGAAUCCCAACACUUCAGUGAGUUUCAGAUUUUGUGUCUAGUAAGGAUUUUUGUGUUUCCAAGAUGCCAUACCCUUUAAUUUUGCCACUUGGUUUUGGACUAGGAUAUCUGGUGACGACAGGGAUGAGGAAAGUUUUCGACCAUUUAUUUCCUGGACACGACUCGGACGUAAGUACCUCCCAGGAUAUUGAGAGAGAUUUGUUUUGGGACGGGCUUCCAACGGUUCCCAGAGAUAAAACUGACCCGGCUGGGGAAGUUUCUUCUCUCGAAAGUCAGAGUCGUUUCUCAAGCUCCCCGGAUGUUGACAGAGAUUUGAUUUGGGACGGGCUUCCAACGGUUCCCAGGGAUAAAGCUAACCCGGCUGGGGAAGUUUCUUCUCUCGAAAGUCCAAGUCAUUUCUCAAGCUCCCAGGAUGUUGACAGAGAUUUGUUUUGGGACGGGCUUCCAACGGUUCCCAGAGUUCAAGCUGACCCGGCUGGGGAAGUUUCUUCUGGGGCAGAUCUCAAAGCUCAGGCUUUGAGAUCCACUAUUUCAUCUCCGGUGUGUUCAGAGAAAACAUCGAGAAAUGGCGCAUCCUCCAGGGUCUCUGAAUGUAAAUGUUCCUCUGACGGAGCGUCAGACUUAACACACAGGAAGCAGCAGACGAGCAGCAGAAAGACUGUUAACAAAGACAAAACUGCCCCAGACCAAGUACGUAAUUCUGACAAUGAGGAAAAACUUUGGGACCAGAUUGUGAACUGUUCCCAAAAGAAAAACUACCCCGAAUUGGAUAGCUCACUGUUAGAAAGAGAGGAAAAACUUUGGGACCAGAUUUUACUGAGUUCCCAAAAGAAAAAACUACCCUGAAUUGGAUAGCUCACUGUUAGAAAGAGAGGAAAA